CUGCCGGCGGCCACUGCUAUCAAGUUCCGACUAAGCCAUGCGAGUCAAGGUAUCGUAAGAUGCCGGCAUACUGCUCAGUAACACGUGGAUAAUUUACCCUUGGGAAAGGGAUAACCUCGGAAAACUGAGGCUAAUACCUUAUAGUUGCUUAAAACUGGAAGGUUUAGGCAAUGAAAGUUUCGACGCCCAAGGAUAAGUCUGCGGCCUAUCAGGUAGUAGGUGGUGUAACGGACCACCUAGCCUUAGACGGGUACGGGCCCUGGGAGGGGUAGCCCGGAGAUGGACUCUGAGACAUAAGUCCAGGCCCUACGGGGCGCAGCAGGCGCGAAAACUGUGCAAUGCGCGAAAGCGCGACACGGGGAGCUUGAGUGUCUUGGCAUAGCCAAGACUUUUCUUAUACCUAAAAAGUAUAAGGAAUAAGUGCUGGGUAAGACGGGUGCCAGCCGCCGCGGUAACACCCGCAGCACAAGUGGUGGUCACUUUUAUUGAGCCUAAAGCGUUCGUAGCCGGUUUUGUAAAUCUUCAGGCAAAUCCUGAAGCCUAACUUCAGAA
rnacentral:rRNA from 1 species